AUUGAACGCUGGCGGCAUGCCUUACACAUGCAAGUCGAACGGCAGCACGGGUGCUUGCACCUGGUGGCGAUUGGCGAACGGGUGAGUAAUAUAUCGGAACGUACCUUAUUGUGGGGGAUAACGCAGCGAAAGCUGUGCUAGUACCGCAUAAUCCCUAAGGGGGAAAGCGGGGGACCGUAAGGCCUCGCGCAAUUAGAGCGGCCGAUACCUGAUGAGCUAGUUGGUGAGGUAAAGGCUCACCAAGGAAACGAUCAUUAGCUGGUCUGAGAGAACGAUCAGCCACCGUGGGACGGAGCCACGGCCCAGACUCCUACGGGGGGAAGCAGGGAGGAAUUUGGGACAAGGGGGGCAACCCUGAUCCAGCAAUGCCGCGUGAGUGAAGAAGGCCUUGGGGUUGUAAAGCUCUUUUGUCAGGGAAGAAACAGCAGCUCUAACACAUUAUGCGAAUGACGGUACCUGAAGAAUAAGCACCGGCUAACUACGUGCCAGCCGCCGCCGUAA
rnacentral:rRNA from 1 species